UACGUAGGGUGCAAGCGUUGUCCGGAAUUAUUGGGCGUAAAGAGCUCGUAGGCGGUUUGUCGCGUCUGCUGUGAAAACUCGGGGCUUAACUCCGGGCCUGCAGUGGGUACGGGCAGACUAGAGUGCGGUAGGGGAGACUGGAAUUCCUGGUGUAGCGGUGAAAUGCGUAGAUAUCGAGAGGAACACCUGCGGCGAAGGCGGGUUGCUGGGCUGACACUGACGCUGAAGCGCGAAAGCUAGGGGAGCGAACGGG
rnacentral:rRNA from 1 species